GCGGUUGUGGCGAAGUGGUUAACGCACCGGAUUGUGGCUCCGGGAUUCGUGGGUUCGAUUCCCAUCAGUCGCCCCA
rnacentral:tRNA from 1 species